GACGAACGCUGGCGGCGUGCUUAACACAUGCAAGUCGAGCGGAAAGGCCCCUUUGGGGGUACUCGAGCGGCGAACGGGUGAGUAUCACGUGAGUAAUCUGCCCUUCACUUCGGGAUAGCC
rnacentral:rRNA from 1 species